UACGGAAGGCAGCAGUGGGGAAUAUUGCACAAUGGGCGCAAGCCUGAUGCAGCCAUGCCGCGUGUAUGAAAAAGGCCUUCGGGUUGUAAAGUACUUUCAGUCGUGAGGAAGGUGUUAAGGUUAAUAACCUUAGCAAUUGACGUUAGCGACAGAAGAAGCACCGGCUAACUCCGUGCCAGCAGCCGCGGUAAUACGGAGGGUGCGAGCGUUAAUCGGAAUUACUGGGCGUAAAGGGCACGCAGGCGGUUAAUUAAGUUGGAUGUGAAUCCCCGGGCUUAACCUGGGAAUGGCAUUCAAGACUGGUUAGCUAGAGUCUUGUAGAGGGGGGUAGAAUUCCAUGUGUAGCGGUGAAAUGCGUAGAGAUGUGGAGGAAUACCGGUGGCGAAGGCGGCCCCUGGACAAAGACUGACGCUCAUGUGCGAAAGCUGGGGAGCAAACAGGGAUUAGAUACC
rnacentral:rRNA from 1 species